GGAAGGAAGCUGAACCUUUUGCUGUAUGUCACUCCCUCCUUGCUCUUAAGGUCUUCAAUUUACACAAAAAUUUCAACAGUCUUGCUGCAUCCUAAGGAAAAUAAAGAAAGAAAGAAGCCAUAUUUUUCUUUGAAAAUUGAAAAUCUUUGUAUAUACAGGCUUACUUUACAUCCAAUAUCUAAAGGCAAAAAGCAUAUUUUAAUUCCUAAAUUUUUUAUGUUUUAUGCUAUUGAGUCCAUAAACAUUCAUUCGUUGACACUGGACCCUUGAACCAUUACUUUUCUCUACAUUUAGCCCUUAUUUAACAGAGGUUACUUGUGUGUAACACAUACCAUAUAAGUCGUGCGUUUUAAUAAUUAAAAAAUUC
rnacentral:misc_RNA from 1 species